rnacentral:rRNA from 1 species
CCUACGGGAGGCAGCAGUGGGGAAUAUUGGACAAUGGGGGGAACCCUGAUCCAGCCAUGCCGCGUGUGUGAAGAAGGCCCUCGGGUUGUAAAGCACUUUCAGUGAGGAAGAACGCCUGGUGGUUAAUACCCAUCAGGAAAGACAUCACUCACAGAAGAAGCACCGGCUAACUCCGUGCCAGCAGCCGCGGUAAUACGGAGGGUGCGAGCGUUAAUCGGAAUUACUGGGCGUAAAGCGCGCGUAGGUGGCUUGAUAAGCCGGGUGUGAAAGCCCCGGGCUCAACCUGGGAACGGCAUCCGGAACUGUCAAGCUAGAGUGCAGGAGAGGGAGGUAGAAUUCCCGGUGUAGCGGUGAAAUGCGUAGAGAUCGGGAGGAAUACCAGUGGCGAAGGCGGCCUUCUGGACUGACACUGACACUGAGGUACGAAAGCGUGGGUAGCAAACAGGAUUAGAUACCCCGGUAGUC